rnacentral:rRNA from 1 species
GUUAAAAAGCUCGUAGUUGGAUUUCUGGCGGGGACCCAAGUACCCCUGGUGGGUGUGCUCGGGCCCGGCCAUCCUUCUGUAAACUUUCGCGCGUCCUUCACCGGUCGGCAAAGGGAUCAGAUAAUUUACCUUGAGAAAAUUAGAGUGUUUCAGGCAGGCUUAGCCGGAAUACAUUAGCAUGGAAUAAUGGAAUAGGACUGAGGUCUCGUUGUUGGUUACGCGGACUACAGUAAUGAUUAAUAGGGACAGUUGGGGGCAUUAGUAUUUAUUAGCUAGAGGUGGAAUUCUCUAAUUUGAUAAAGACUAACUUAUGCGAAAGCAUUUGCCAAGGAUGUUUUCAUUAAUCAAGAACGAAAGUUAGGGGAUCAAAGACGAUCAGAUACCGUCCUAGUCUUAACCAUAAACUAUGCCGACUCGGGAUCGGGAGCGUGUGUUAUCCGCUUUCGGCACCGUAUGAGAAAUCAAAGUCUUUGGGUUCUGGGGGGA